UACGUAGGGGGCAAGCGUUGUCCGGAAUUAUUGGGCGUAAAGAGCGCGUAGGCGGUCCGAUAAGUCGGCUGUGAAAGUCAUGGGCUCAACCCAUGAAAGCCGGCCGAUACUGUCGGACUAGAGUCCGGAAGAGGCGAGUGGAAUUCCCGGUGUAGCGGUGAAAUGCGCAGAUAUCGGGAGGAACACCAAUGGCGAAGGCAGCUCGCUGGGACGGUACUGACGCUGAUGCGCGAAAGCCAGGGGAGCGAACGGG
rnacentral:rRNA from 1 species